UCCUUUAGAUCUGGCUUGCCUGGAGCGUCUGGCUCGGCUACGAUAACGCAGUAAGAUUAUGAAAAUUGUACUGAAUGGCCAGAGAUUUGAAAGAGAAGCUCAAAGGAAUUCGAUUUUGAAAGGAUCGACGAGAUCAAAUCUCAAACGACGUCGUUACCUCUUGUCAGGUACAAUCUCCUGGUCACCUCUGAACCAUUUCACUUCGCCACCAGCGUCGUCCAACUCGCAGACAAGCGUCAACGUUUCCUUUUCUACGAUCUGCUGGGACUUGAGCACCUUUACGAACUUAUAAGGAUACUCUGCAUGGAAGAAGGGAUAUUUUAGAACUUGCAAACAUCAUCGAUCGCCAGAGUUUACAAAAUAUCUAGGAUAACGUUUUCCUAGAUUAAAACAUACCAACUAUAGUUAGAACCGUUUCAGUCUUGUCGGUUUGUUUGUUAAUCUUACAAAUGUAGUCGCCGCUAUCUUCAAGCGUAGCGCUCUUUAUGGUUAAUCGACAAACGCCAUUCAUGUCCUUCGACAUACUGUACGUAUCGCCCUCCUAGAGAUAUUAAUUAAUCGUUUUUUUUUUUUUUACGUAUUUUGUAUUUUCAAUUGUACGAUGUACGAGAAAUGAAAUUGUAAUCUUAAAAGCUUCACCUCCAACUUCGUUUUUCCUUUGUACCACGAAACUUGGGCGAGGUUGGAGCUAACUGUACAUUCCAUGUAAACUUCAUGCUUAGUGUAACCACUUGUUUUCUUAGCCAGUGGUUUCGUGAAUGUGUAAGUUGGGUCUGGUUCUGUGUAACAAUAAAUCAGUAGCUCGAUAUAUUCUAGCCAAGAUGACAUAUUGUGACUUAUAGUCCAAGUAUAAUCGAAUCUAUGGUAAAUAGAAUGUUAAUAAAAAAAAGGAGAAAAGAAAGAACGAAUAGAAAAUAUAGAAAGGACAAAGAGCAGGACAACGACUUAACAAAUUUAAAAACAAAUACAAAUUAAAAAAAAAACCAAACUCUGUCCUCUCAUUUGGUUUUGGAACAAGUAUUGCUACGUAUACUACUAGUCCUUGUACACAGUUCGCGAAUAUCCAUCGAAUCGUACUAACCUUCAACGUUGAGGAAAGCCGUGCUGGAGAUACCUGAAAUUUCAAUUUUAUACUUCCCGGUAUCCUCGACCUUGGGAUUCAUAAUAAUCAGUUGGUAACAAUCUUCCUCGUUCUUGAACUUGUAUUUCGACGAAGGGAACAGUUCCUAAAUAAGAGAAGCAAAUUUCUUUAUAAAUUUCCGAACAAACCUUUCAAUUAAUAUCUAUUUUAUUAUUUGCCAAUUAAUUAUUUAAUAAUAAUUAGGUGCAAGAGGAUCAUAGCGGUGCAAUAUCAUUUUUCAUAAAACGCUAUUAUAUUGUAAACAAUUAGAAGGAACUGAUUGUAUCCUUUCGAGUCGUGGAAACGUAUACCACGGCAGAGAAUAAAGUUGCAACUUAAUUCGCCAGCAAACUAAAACGACGACGUUCGUAAGAAUCAAAGUACGCGUUGAAGUUCAAAUUCUUCAAAUUUUGAUUCAAACCGCUAUGAUGUUGGAACACCCAAUCGAUGAACAAAUAUAACAGACUUAUCACUGUCUUAAUAAAUAGUUAAAAAAGAACGAGAAACUUACGUCCUUUCGGAAGAACCAUUUUGGUUUGCAGUUCGGUUUCGAGAAGUUCGCCUCGAAGACCACCUUCUUGUCUUUGCCUUCCUUGGCAUAUUGGUCCACCAGUGGUUUGAGGAAACUUUCCUGUUUCUGUGAAUACGAAAAUUCUGUUAGCGAAGGAUUCUUCGUUAAGAAAUUUCCAUCAGAUCUAAGAACACCGCCAAGAACGACAACGUUGCUGGGCAUACAAGGAAGAUGAAGAGUCAAAACGUUAAAAAAAAAGAAGGCGCCACAAACCAACGGAUGUCUCGCUAGGCGAGGUAAAAAUAUGUACAAAAUUGCCCCAAAAAUAGAGAAAAAUUCUCGUCGACGAGGACGAAGCGUUCGAAAGCCGCUGUAGCUGGAAAAUUCUAGAAAAAAAUAACGGAACAGCACAAAAAUAAAAUGUCGGCCGUAAAAAGGUUCGAUAGAAGAUUGUUGUCGAAGAUAGUGAGAAGUGACGAUGGAUGAACGUAUAUGUAAUACAUAUAUAUGAGAAAGAAGAAUAAAAGUUGUCGAAACAGACCGUGUAUAAAUUUGAUAGAUUUGAGGAAGAAGGUGAGAAUAGAAGAAACAGACGUAGGAGAAGAGAAUGAGAGAGAUAUCGUAAAAGACAAAGAGAGAAAGACGAGUGGUCUAGUCGUUGAAGAAACGAUAAAUAAAGAGGAAAAUAGUGAAUCGCAUUCUCAUAAGAAAGAGCGAGAAAGAGCGAAAAAUAUAGAGAUAGGGAGGAAUAAAAGUGAAAGACAUCGAUAUCACGCUGGUAGAUCGUGAAACUGUGUUUCGAGUUUCAAGUUGUCGAGGAAUACGAUCCAACCUCCGUCUUGGUGAAAUGGUGCAGGGUCGGCCAGUCGGGAAUUAAUUCGGCGAGAGAGGGUCUACGAGAUCCACUACUCUAUAAAACAACAAAAAUCGUCUACGAUCACAGUCUGAUUUACUACACGGGUAUCUUCUUCGUUGAGGCUGAUGGCAGGCAAAGUAAAGCAUAGAACAACAGUAUAGACGUAGUAGCAUACCGAGCUGUUAUUGAAUGAUCGCAAGUAAUCGAGAAAUGCAACAGACUUACAACGAAUGGACAUGCAUACCAAUAAGGACAAGCUCCCUCAAGACAUACAAGAAAAAAAAAAAAGAAAAAAAAGAAGAAGAUUCAAAGUUUCUGAUUCGAAGUAUUGAAUCACGUGAUAAGAACGAUCUUCGAUCGUAGACGAAAGUAAUUGGCUACGCACCUUCUCC